GAGUUUGAUCGUGGCUCAGAUUGAACGCUGGCGGCAUGCCUUACACAUGCAAGUCGAACGGCAGCACGGGAGCUUGCUCCUGGUGGCGAGUGGCGAACGGGUGAGUAAUGCAUCGGAACGUAUCCUGGAGUGGGGGAUAACGUAGCGAAAGUUACGCUAAUACCGCAUAUUCUGUGAGCAGGAAAGCGGGGACUUCGGGCCUCGCGCUCUUGGAGCGGCCGAUGUCGGAUUAGCUAGUU
rnacentral:rRNA from 1 species